UACGUAGGGGGCAAGCGUUAUCCGGAUUUACUGGGUGUAAAGGGAGCGUAGACGGCUGUGCAAGCCAGAUGUGAAAGCCCGGGGCUCAACCCCGGGACUGCAUUUGGAACUGUGUAACUGGAGUGUCGGAGAGGCAGGCGGAAUUCCUAGUGUAGCGGUGAAAUGCGUAGAUAUUAGGAGGAACACCAGUGGCGAAGGCGGCCUGCUGGACGAUGACUGACGUUGAGGCUCGAAAGUGUGGGGAGCAAACAGG
rnacentral:rRNA from 1 species